rnacentral:sRNA from 1 species
ACAAGAAUAUGGAGUAUCGGUAGCGUUCAAAAAACGCUAUUUAAUUAUACUAUAACGUUAUUAGAAACGCUCUAUCAUCGUCCGUCAUAAAAGGUCAGAGAUAUAUUGUAGCGCUUUUUUGUUAUGCUAUCAUUAUUUCAUUUAUUACAGCGCUUUAACUGCUGCAAUAUUUAAUUAUUUAAUAGCGAUUAGUUUUUGAUAUAAAUA